CUCAGACUCAAUAAUGUAGCUAUCACUGGGAGAGCGAUAAUCACAAGACAAUACUCAGCAGUGAGAAAGAGGAAGUCCAUGGCUUAUGUAGCAUGCCUGAUUGAAUUCAGCUGUGUAUGUGUACUCAGUGCAUUCAGCUGUGUAUGUGUAAUCAGUGCAAUGGAUGAUGGGAACUGUAGUUCGGAGUGAAGUGCAACAGUUAGUGUGGUGCAAGAGUCCAUAGUAGUGAGCGGGUGAUCUCUGGUGGUGAGCGAACGGAAGUGCAUGAACAGGAUUCGUGACAAUAGUAAUCAAAGUAUUUGAAUUUGUUAGAUAUUUUAGUCUCUCAAUUUCUGAUUUUACUGAUUUUGUUUAAUGUCAUGGCAUGCUUUUCAGUUAUUACAGUGUUCUGUUUUAUUCUUAAUUGAACAAACAGUAGGCUAUUACACUCUUCAGCAAAUAAAAUACUUUGGCUUAUCCUAGGCAUCCAAACUUACAGUAAUGACUAAAUGUUCUUGAAACCAAGUGACAUUGCCGAAAUUUCUUAAGAUGGAUCGAGAGAUACUUGAUCAUUGCUUUCACUUUCAGUCUCGGCUGUCUCAGGAACUUUAUCAGUUGCUCAUCAGUGGGUGUUGUUAAUUUGGGUCUUAAAUAAAAGCUCAGGUAGUAAUAGUAUCCAGAUCACUUUCACUGGUUUGAAGACUUUGGUAAGUAAACAUAUGUUUUUUUAAUGUUUGUUUUGUACAAAUGUAUGUUUUUGGUAAAUCUUUAUAAAAACUGUAUUCAUUUAAAAUGCCUGUAAAAAACAUUUAGCAUUCUUAAUUUUGACUUUGUCCACAUCAGCUGUAAUGCCUGUUUACCACACCAACUCUAACAACUUUGGAGACAAAUCGGGAAAAACACAGCACAUGUAUGGACGACAUAUAAAUGAUGAUUCUGAUAAUUCACAGGUGAACAAUAUGAUGGUUUCAUCAAACUUCUUUAAGGGCGCCACAAUCCUUCAGUGGCUGGCACUCAACGUCAACAAAUAACAUUCAAGAAUGGCAAAGUGUUUUGUGCUGAAGAAGUCAAAUAUUACACACCUGAUUAAGAUCUGUUGCACAUCACUCAAU